UGAGUAACACGUGGGCAAUCUGCCCUGCACUUCGGGAUAAGCCUGGGAAACUGGGUCUAAUACCGGAUAGGACCUUUAGACGCAUGUCUUUUGGUGGAAAGCUUUUGCGGUGUGGGAUGGGCCCGCGGCCUAUCAGCUUGUUGGUGGGGUGAUGGCCUACCAAGGCGACGACGGGUAGCCGGCCUGAGAGGGUGUCCGGCCACACUGGGACUGAGAUACGGCCCAGACUCCUACGGGAGGCAGCAGUGGGGAAUAUUGCACAAUGGGCGCAAGCCUGAUGCAGCGACGCCGCGUGGGGGAUGACGGCCUUCGGGUUGUAAACCUCUUUCACCAUCGACGAAGGUCCGGGUUUUCUCGGAUUGACGGUAGGUGGAGAAGAAGCACCGGCCAACUACGUGCCAGCAGCCGCGGUAAUACGUAGGGUGCGAGCGUUGUCCGGAAUUACUGGGCGUAAAGAGCUCGUAGGUGGUUUGUCGCGUUGUUCGUGAAAUCUCACGGCUUAACUGUGAGCGUGCGGGCGAUACGGGCAGACUAGAGUACUGCAGGGGAGACUGGAAUUCCUGGUGUAGCGGUGGAAUGCGCAGAUAUCAGGAGGAACACCGGUGGCGAAGGCGGGUCUCUGGGCAGUAACUGACGCUGAGGAGCGAAAGCGUGGGGGAGCGAACAGGAUUAGAUACCCCUGGUAGUCCACGCCGUAAACCGGUGGGUACUAGGUGUGGGGUUUCCUUCCUUGGGAUCCGUGCCCGUAGCUAACGCAUUAAGUACCCCCGCCUGGGGGAGUACGGCCGCAAGGCUAAAAACUCAAAGGAAUUUGACGGGGGGGCCCCGCACAA
rnacentral:rRNA from 1 species